GAUGAAGAACGCAGCGAAAUGCGAUACUUGGUGUGAAUUGCAGAAUCCCGUGAACCAUCGAGUCUUUGAACGCAAGUUGCGCCCGAAGCCACUAGGCCGAGGGCACGCCUGCCUGGGCGUCACACGCCGUUGCCCCCCCAUCUACUCCUUCGGGAUUGCGGGGGGGCGGAUGAUGGCCUCCCGUGCGCCUAGCCGCGCGGUUGGCAUAAACACCAAGUCCUCGGCGACGCACGCCACGACAAUCGGUGGUUGCGAAACCUCGUUUGCCCGUCGUGUGCGUUCGUCGCGCAUCGAGGGCUCGAAAAAAUGCUCGGCUCCGGCUGGGCUUUCAACGCGACCCCAGGUCAGGCGGGGUUACCCGCUGAAUUUAAGCAUAUCAAUAAGCGGAGGA
rnacentral:misc_RNA from 1 species